GAGACACCUGUCUCAAUCAAUGAGAGAAGAUUUGAAAUAGACAUGAUGGGAGCAUACAUAUUGUUGGAUUACUUCACAGAUCAAAACAUUUAUUUAUUUUAAAUAACGCAAACGCACCACCUGCAACAGGACCCAAAUCGAGAACAAACACAUUAUCACCAAGUUAAGGACUACAGUGGUCUGGCUGGUGUGUCUGGCUAACGCUGUGGAGCUGGUGGGGGUGAGCAGAGACAGCUGGGAUGACGUAUGGAGGCAGAAUGACCAUGAUCCCUUUCCUGAGACACACAUGCUCAGACUCAUGGAUGUCAUUGUUUGGAAAUGGUAGACUUUAUCUCAGUGAACUGUGAGCCAGUGAAGGCAAUGAUUGAUGACCUCAUUCAGAGACUGUUUGACGCCCUGCAGAUAUCCCUCAUGAUCUCCAAA